AGGGCGAGGCUCUUUGCACCGAGGCCUCCACCAUCACUACCCCUGAGCCCCAAGCGGGGCUCGCGUUUGGGGUGAGCCCUGCGGAGGUCCCGGGAGGCUUCCUUGCCCUCCUGUCUGUGUCCUCCUUAACUACGAGUGAAUAUUGUUUCAUGAACGGUUUCCCUGGAAAUACUCCACACACCCUCGCAUCCUUUCCAAAGUAGUUUCCAAAUUUUCCCCAGGAGUUGGUGUGCGGCUGCAGGAACAAAGGAAUCGCUGUGCCUCGGGGGCGCACUCGCUGGGAGUCGGACACAUGUUGAUCCCGGAGGCCCCAGGGGCGGCCCAGCCUCCCGUCCUAGUGGGGCCUGCGCGGUGGCUGCAGGUAGUGGACGAGCAGAGCGAUCAGUACUUUCGCGUUACGUUUCGGACGAGAAUGAAGACGUCCCUAGCUGCAGGGACUUUUCACUCAGUCGGUGGGGCUGAGUUGGAGUUUGUCUCCGGGAGUUUUUGGACUGUGAGCUAUUUCAGAACUCUCUUCUCAGGACCCAUUAUUUUAACAGUCAGGAGAAACACAUCCAGAAGAUGCACGCUAGGCCAAAGGAGGAGCAGAGAAUCUGAAGAUUUCAGAUGA
rnacentral:lncRNA from 1 species